rnacentral:rRNA from 1 species
GGCUCAGGAUGAACGCUAGCGGCAGGCUUAACACAUGCAAGUCGAGGGGCAGCGCGAGUAGCAAUACUUGGCGGCGACCGGCGCAAGGGUGCGUAACGCGUGAGCAACAUGCCCGUAUCAGGGGGAUAAUCCAGGGAAACUUGGUCUAAUACCCCAUAGUAAUUUUUGUAAGGCAUCUUAUAAGAUUUAAAGCUUUGGUGGAUACGGAUUGGCUCGCGUGACAUUAGCUGGAUGGUAAGGUAACGGCUUACCAUGGCUAUGAUGUCUAGGGGUUCUGAGAGGAAGGUCCCCCCACACUGGAACUGAGACACGGUCCAGACUCCUACGGGAGGCAGCAGUGAGGAAUAUUGGACAAUGGAUGGAAAUCUGAUCCAGCCAUGCCGCGUGAAGGAAAAGAAGGUCCUAUGGAUUGUAAACUUCUUUUGUAUGGGAGCAAUAAGGCCUGCGAGUAGGUUGAUGAGAGUACCAUACGAAUAAGCACCGGCUAACUCCGUGCCAGCCGCCGC